rnacentral:lncRNA from 1 species
AGAAAAAUUUUGAAUUUUAACACAAGUCCAAUAUUUGCAACUAAUAAUUCAAUCACAUACAAUAUAUAUAAUCUCAAUUCUCCCCCCACACUUAACAUACACAUUGUCCUCAAUGUGUAAAAAGGAAAAUCAAGAUAAAGAAAGUAAUACUCCCCUAUGAUGUGAUUGAAUAUGAAGCUUCAAAAUCCAUUGUCCGUUUAUCUCCAACGCUUCAUAAGUUCCAUUGAAUAACCAUUAGUAAUAAUAAUCGAAACAUAGAAAAUAAGAAACAAAAGUGAUAACAAAGGCUUAAUAAAACAAAACGGCGAUCCGUAAUUUCAAACCUUUGUUUUGGUGAUGUACCUAUAUACAAUAUACAAUAAGCAACUCAAGGUACAAGAAAAUAUAUGAGGAAAAGAAGAAAAAAGAGAAUCAAGGAAUCUGCAUUUUUUUUUUUUUUUGCUCCGAAAACGCGACUCAUCAAAACGCGCCAUCAAGCCGCGUUUUGUGAAGUCGCGUUUCUUCACAUAUCUUGCAGGAUCGAAAACGCGACUAUGCUUAAA